rnacentral:rRNA from 1 species
UCGAACGGUGAACACGGAGCUUGCUCUGUGGGAUCAGUGGCGAACGGGUGAGUAACACGUGAGCAACCUGCCCCUGACUCUGGGAUAAGCGCUGGAAACGGCGUCUAAUACUGGAUACGAGUAGCGGCCGCAUGGUCAGUUACUGGAAAGAUUUUUUGGUUGGGGAUGGGCUCGCGGCCUAUCAGCUUGUUGGUGAGGUAAUGGCUCACCAAGGCGUCGACGGGUAGCCGGCCUGAGAGGGUGACCGGCCACACUGGGACUGAGACACGGCCCAGACUCCUACGGGAGGCAGCAGUGGGGAAUAUUGCACAAUGGGCGAAAGCCUGAUGCAGCAACGCCGCGUGAGGGAUGACGGCCUUCGGGUUGUAAACCUCUUUUAGCAGGGAAGAAGCGAAAGUGACGGUACCUGCAGAAAAAGCGCCGGCUAACUACGUGCCAGCAGCCGCGGUAAUACGUAGGGCGCAAGCGUUAUCCGGAAUUAUUGGGCGUAAAGAGCUCGUAGGCGGUUUGUCGCGUCUGCUGUGAAAUCCCGAGGCUCAACCUCGGGCCUGCAGUGGGUACGGGCAGACUAGAGUGCGGUAGGGGAGAUUGGAAUUCCUGGUGUAGCGGUGGAAUGCGCAGAUAUCAGGAGGAACACCGAUGGCGAAGGCAGAUCUCUGGGCCGUAACUGACGCUGAGGAGCGAA